rnacentral:rRNA from 1 species
GAUGAACGCUGGCGGCGUGCCUAAUACAUGCAAGUCGAACGAACAUACGAGUAGCUUGCUCCUCUGACUUUAGCGUCGGACGGGUGAUUUACUCGUGGAUAACCUACCUAUAAGACUGGGAUAACUUCUGGAAACCGUUGCUAAUACCGUUUAAUCUAUUGCACCUCAUGUUUCAAUAGUUUAAUGCGGUUUUGCUGUCACUUAUAGAUUGAUCCGCGCCGCAUUAGAUAGUUGGUAAGGUAACGGCUUACCAAGGCAAAUAUGCGUAGCCGAACUGAGCGGGUGAGAGGCCACACUGGAACUGAGACACGGUCCAGACUCCUACGGGAGGCAGCAGUAGGGAAUUUUCCGCAAUGGGCGAAAGCCUGACGGAGAAACGCGGCGUGAGUGAUGAAGGUCUUCGGAUCGUAAAACUCUGUAAUUAGGGAAGAACAAAUGUGUAAGUAACUAUGAACGUCUUGACGGUAACUAAGCAGAAAGCAACGGCUAACUACGUG